AGAGUUUGAUCAUGGCUCAGAAUCAACGCUGGCGGCGUGCCCAACACAUGCAAGUCGAACGCGAAAGUGGAGCAAUCCAUGAGUAGAGUGGCAAACGGGUGAGUAACACGUGGGUGACCUGCCUUCGAGUGGGGGAUAACGUCCCGAAAGGGACGCUAAUACCGCAUAACAUGCUGUCUUUUAAGAGAUGGACAUCAAAGCCGGGGACCGCAAGGCCUGGCGCUUGAAGAGGGGCCCGCGCCUGAUUAGCUAGUUGGUGGGGUAAUGGCUCACCAAGGCAACGAUCAGUAUCCGGCCUGAGAGGGCGGACGGACACACUGGGACUGAGACACGGCCCAGACUCCUACGGGAGGCAGCAGUGGGGAAUUGUUCGCAAUGGGCGCAAGCCUGACGCAGCAACGCCGCGUGAGUGAAGAAGGCCUUUGGGUCGUAAAGCUCUGUCAACUGGGAAGAAGUUACAUUAUAUUAAUAGUAUAUUGUAUUGACGGUACCAGUGGAGGAAGCGCCGGCUAACUCCGUGCCAGCAGCCGCGGUAAUACGGGGGGCGCAAGCGUUAUUCGGAAUUAUUGGGCGUAAAGGGCGCGUAGGCGGUUUUGUCGGUCAGAUGUGAAAGCCCAGGGCUCAACCCUGGACGUGCAUUUGAAACAGCAAGACUUGAGUACGGGAGAGGAAAGCGGAAUUCCUGGUGUAGAGGUGAAAUUCGUAGAUAUCAGNAGGAACACCGAUGGCGAAGGNAGCUUUCUGGACCGAUACUGACGCUGAGGCGCGAAGGCNUGGGUANCGAACAGGAUUAGAUACCCUGGUAGUCCACGCAGUAAACGAUGNUCACU
rnacentral:rRNA from 1 species